rnacentral:rRNA from 1 species
ACGUAGGGGGCGAGCGUUAUUCGGAAUUACUGGGUGUAAAGGGUAUGUAGGCGGCCCUUCAAGUCGCGUGUCAAAGUCCAGUGCUCAACGCUGGGUGUGCGCGCGAUACUGACGGGCUUGAGGGCUGGAGAGGUGAGCGGAAUUCCCGGUGUAGCGGUAAAAUGCGUAGAGAUCGGGAGUAACACCAGCAGCGAAGGCGGCUCACUAGAAAGAUUCUGACGCUAAUAUGCGAAAGCGUGGUGAGCAAACAG